rnacentral:rRNA from 1 species
AACAAAAACAUGUCCUUUUGAUGUUAAUUUAAGGUUUAACCUGCCCACUGAUUUAUUAAAUGGCCGCAGUAAUUUGACUGUGCAAAGGUAGCAUAAUCAUUAGUUUUUUAAUUAAAAGCUUGUAUGAAGGGUUGGACGAGGUAAAAUCUGUCUCUAUUUAAUUUAUUUUAGAACUUAAUUUUUAAGUUAAAAAGCUUAAAUUUUUAUAAAAGACGAGAAGACCCUAUAGAUCUUUAUAAUAUUAUAGUUAAUUUUAAUUAAGAAUUUUUUAUUUUUUAUUUAUAUUAUUAUUUUAUUGGGGUAAUAAAGAGAUUAAAGUAAUUCUUUUGUUUUAUAAUAUUGAUUAAUAAAUAUAUGAUCCAAUAAUUUUGAUUAAAAGAUUAAGUUACCUUAGGGAUAACAGCGUAAUUUUUUUAGAGAGUUCAUAUCGAUAAAAAAGUUUGCGACCUCGAUGUUG